rnacentral:tRNA from 1 species
UGCGGUUUGGUGUAAUAGUAACACAAUUGACUCAUGACCAAUUAAUUAGGGUGCAAAUCCUUAAGCCGCAC